CCUCUUUCUCCUGGAGCUGGAACACACUUUUUUCUCCUGCCUUUGGACGUCGGAACUCUAGGCUCUCCAGGCUUUCCAGCCUCUGGACUUAACACCAGUCUCUGGACUUAACACCAGUCUCUGGAUUCUCAAGCCUUUGGCCUCAGACUGAGAAUUAUACCAGCAACUUCCUGGUUCUGAGGCUUUUGGGCAGCCAUGCUACCAGCAUCCCAGUGUUUCCAGCAGAAGGCCUGUUGUGGGAGUUCUCAGCUUCCAUGAGCAUGUAAGCUUGGUUAAAAGAACUCCAGAUGGCCCGGGGGCUGCAGGACUCCUUGCCAAUUAUCAGAGGAAGAUAAGGCCUGUGUGAAACCGGGGCAAACCUGAACCAGCGACCCCGUGUUACCUUUAGAUCAUUAACAUAUCAUCAUAAUGCUAAAACCUCACCCAUAGAAGAUAAUUGCUGCCAUUUUCUGAAUAUACAUUAUGUGAAGAAGCAUGUUCAUGAUCUGCACCUGCACGUCUGGAGUUCCUCCCCACAUGUGUUUACCUACCUCCCUGCCCCACAUCUAACGCCUUAAAAUCCCCCAGCUUCUCAUAUCUCAGGGAGAAGGAAUCUUUAGAGAAAGAGCUCCCUCCUCCGUUCCUGGCCAGGAAUAAAACCUGCUUGCCCUUUUUCCCAUUAGGUGUUACAGUAGAACUCAGUUAGCCUGUAACAAUAAGAAUUGCAUUAAAUCCUUAUAUCAACUUGGGAAGAAUGGACAGAUUUACCAUAUUAAGUCUUCUAAUCCAUAAGUAAGUAUGGUCAUUCUUUUUUUAGAUUUUUGAAAUUUCUUUCAUCAGCAAUUUUGUAGUUCUUUCCCUCACUAUCUAGAUCCCAAAUAUUUUCUAUUUUUUUUUUCUGAAAGUUCUAUCUCUUACAAUUUAAACCUGAGUAGUUAUCAGCAUGCAAGCCCUGUACCUGUUUUGUUGGAUUUAAAUUUAAGUAUUUUGUUUUUUGAUACAUUGUAAAUGCUACUGUAUUUUAAAUUUCAGUGCCCAUGUGUUCAUUGCUAGUAUAAAGAAAUACAACAUAUUCCAGCAGUCUAGCUGAAGUCACUUAUCAGCUCUAGGAGUUUUUGUUUUUGAUUCUAUUUUUGGUAGAUCUUUGAGUUUUCCCACUUAGAUAAGCAUGUUAUCUGCAAAUAGGGACAGUUUUAUUACUACCUUUCUGAUCUAUAUGCCUUUUAUUUCCUUUUCUUACCUUAUUGCAUUGGGUAGAACUUCUAACACUGUUUAACAAUAAUGGUAAGAGCAAUCAUCCUUGCCCUGUUCCUGUUCUCAGGGUACAUUCAUUCAUUCUUUCACUGUUAAGUAUGAUGCUGGCUGUGGAGUUGUUAUAGAUGCUCUUUAACAAGUUAGGACAAAUUCCCUCUAUUUCUAUUUUUCUGAGCAUUUUUAAACCCAUGAAUGGGUGUUUUGUCAAAUGCUUUUUCUGUAUUGAUUGGUAAGAUCAAUUUUCUUUUGUAUCAAUUUUCUUUUGUUAAUAUGUUGGAUUAUGUUGACUGAUUUGUGAAUAGUAAAACAGCCCUGCAUUCCU
ensembl:lncRNA